AAUCUUGCGCAAUGGCCGAAAGGCUGACGCAGCGACGCCGCGUGCGGGAGGACGCCCCUCGGUGUGUAUACCGCUGUCAGCGCUGACGAAUGCCCCGGGGAGGCAAUGCCCCUGGGGCGGGACGGUACCCACAGUGGACGCACCGCCUUACUCCGUUCCAGCAGCCGCGGUAAUACGGAGGGUGCGAGCGUUGUUCGGAAUUAUUGGGCGUAAAGCGCGCGUAGGCGGCUCUUCAAGUCUUACGGUGAAAGGCCGGGGCUCAACCCCGAGCAUGCCGGGGAUACUGGGGGGCUGGAGACAGGCAGAGGCCAGCGGAAUUCCGGGUGUAGCGGUGGAAUGCGUAGAGAUCCGGAAGAACACCGGAGGCGAAGGCGGCUGGCUGGGCCUGAUCUGACGCUGAGGUGCGAAAGCGUGGGGAGCGAACAGG
rnacentral:rRNA from 1 species